rnacentral:rRNA from 1 species
GACGAACGCUGGCGGCGUGCUUAACACAUGCAAGUCGAACGGAAAGGCUCCAGCUUGCUGGAGUACUCGAGUGGCGAACGGGUGAGUAACACGUGGGUAAUCUGCCCUGCACUCUGGGAUAAGCCUGGGAAACUGGGUCUAAUACUGGAUAUGACCUUUCUCCUUAUGGGGUUUGGUGGAAAGUUUUUCGGUGUAGGAUGAGCCCGCGGCCUAUCAGCUUGUUGGUGGGGUGAUGGCCUACCAAGGCGACGACGGGUAGCCGGCCUGAGGGGGUGAUCGGCCACAUUGGGACUGAGAUACGGCCCAGACUCCUACGGGAGGCAGCAGUGGGGAAUAUUGCACAAUGGGCGGAAGCCUGAUGCAGCGACGCCGCGUGAGGGAUGACGGCCUUCGGGUUGUAAACCUCUUUCAGCAGGGACGAAGCGUAAGUGACGGUACCUGCAGAAGAAGCACCGGCUAACUAUGUG